GUUGAUCGAAGAAGAGAAGGAGAACACGGAGCAGCGGGCCGAGGAGACUGAGAGCAGGGAGGGCAGGGGGAGCUUAGGCAGCCUCUGUCGUUUUAAAUCAGUGAGCUCCCUCAACCUGCUUCCCACCUCCUCGCAUGCUGGCUCCUGCCCACCCCUGCCCAAGCCCAGAACGAGGCGGCACAGCCCGGCACAGGAGGGAGACCAGCUGGGCAUCAUGACUCUGGGUGAUACAAGAUCAUCUCUUAGUGAAGACCAGGGGGUGCUUUACGGAAACCACUGUGAGCGAAUGACACUCGAACUGCGUCUGCCAGCUAUACGGGAAGAGGUAGGAGAUGACAAGACCACCAUCAAAUGUGAAACCUCGACCCCCGCCUUACCGCUGUCCCUUCGGCUGGGCCGCCUGCACACGGGGGCGCUGCACACAGCCACCCAUGAGGACCUCAGGGACGCCCACAACUCGACAGGCUCUCAGGACAGCCUCAGGAACAACCCCAGCAGCGGCACCAGCAGGCAGGACUCGCUGCACAAAGCCCCAAAGAAAAAGGGCAUCAAUUAAGUCCUCCAUCAGCCUCUUGUUUCGCAAGAAGGAAAAGGGCCGGCCUGAAGACCCCAACAAGGAGGCAUUAGGACCAGGUGGGUGCUUCACCUUUCAGAGGAGGAGGGCCUGCAGGCAUCUCCCUUCUGUGUCUCCCUGUUGUCCCCACAAGGCUCCAGUCACUCACGCUGGGGUCCUCCUAGGAGCAGGAGUGGAAGAGGCGUCUGUCUUCUCAAUGGGUCUGAGAUGAUCAGAUGAGUUAAUGAGUGGAUGGAUGGAUUGAUUAGUGAGUGGAUGGUUGGAUGAACAGAUGGCUGGCUGGAUGGGUGGAUGGACGGAGCAUGGAAUGAAUAAAGCAGAUGAUUGUACUCAAUGCUAGAAACAUAUUGUACGAAAUCAAUUGAGUAGGAGCUAGGCAAUGAUUGUUUCCUCCUAACAGUGACAUGUGUUUGGAAACUGCCUAAGUGCUCAUCAGUGAGGGUGAAGUACAAUCUGUGGACACCCACAAGGAACAGCCCGCCCUCCUUCCUGCCACCUCCCCAUCCAGGAGCUCAUCUGCCCAUGCCCCUACCCCACCCCACAGCCAUGCAGGUCCUCCUGAGGUCCCCUCAUCACACAGGGUUAUCAUUAGGCCCUCAUCUCGCUUGGCUUCAUCUCCUUGAAGACAGGGUAUGUUCCUGCCUCUUCAGCCACAAAUUUGUUGAGUCUUGUUUGUGCUGGGUGUGGGAUUUACGGGGGUAAGUAAAGCAGAUGUGAUCUGGAGCACAGUUAAGUGACAAGAGAGAAAAAGGAGCAGGUUAUUAAAUGUGAUCCCUGUUAUUAAUAUAUACAAUGCUGCGAUGGAUGGUGCAUUGAUUAUAUACAAGAUGCUGUGUGUGCCCCUUCCCAAGCAGGUGUUGCCCCCUCCAAAUUUACAGAGGAGGACACGGUGACGGUCACACGGUCAGGGAGUGGUGAGGGCAGGUUCACACCCACGCAGCAAGACCAGGCACUUUGCCAAACCCCAGCCACCUCUCUGGUGGAUGCCACCGGAAUGAGAUGGUUCUAUGGCAUGAUGAUUCAAUGGACAUGAGUUGGAGCAAAUUCCAGGAGAUACUGAAGGACAGGAAAGCCUGGAGUGCUGCAGUCCACGGAGUGGCAAAGAGUCGGACACACCUGAGUGGCUGAACUAAAACCUGAGUGUGUGCUAACCUGCUUCAGUCGUGUCUGACUCUGCGACCCCAGGGACUGUAGCCCACUAGCUCCUCUGUCCAUGGGAUUCUCAGGCGAGAAUACUGGAGUGGGUUGGCAUUUCCUUCUCCGGGGGAUCUUCCCAACCCAGGGAUCAAACCCGAGUCUCCUGCGCGUGGAUGCCUUGCCAUCUGAACCAGGACAUUGCUAAUUCCCUAGGCAAAAUACAAAGAAUAGAGCUCGUGUUCUACUAAAUGGAAAGAUGAUUUCAGAAACAGAAGCUGUCCUUUGUUGGUAUCUGUCAAUCUUUAUGUGGUUUUUGUUGAUUUUUACUAUUAAGGCUACUGGAACAAGGCAAGAGAGAAACCCCAGAAUUGAAAAGCAACUGGCAUUUUUGAAAGAAACAUGUGCAGGCGAAGCUCUCUUCCUUUUUGAGAGGUGGUUAAAUGCAAAAUCUUGAUUCAACACAUAAGACUUUUGUGAACUUUAUUUCAAAUCUCCAUGAUGAACCCCUAAGGCAUCCAGGAAGAAAGGACUAGAGGGGCAGACAGAAAGAGCAACCUUUCCCCUUGGAGCCAUCUCAACCAGCUGCUUAGUUCCUUCAUCUCAAGGACUACCAUCUGGGCUUCUCUGGUUUGUCUGAUUCUUGUUUCGGGACCGUUUCUAGUCACAAGGCUGUCAACAGAGGGGGUGGUGUGUGUGUGUGUGGGAAACCCUUCUCUCCAUUCCACAUGAGACCCAGUGGAUAAUCCAGGCCAGGCCGGGGCCGAAGGGCUUCAGGACCACCCAGUGACCGGGAGGGCAUGCG
rnacentral:lncRNA from 1 species